UACGUAGGGGCCUAGCGUUGUCCGGAUUUAUUGGGCGUAAAGAGCUCGUAGGCGGUUUGGUGAGUCGGGUGUGAAAUCUCCACGCUCAACGUGGAGGGGCCACCCGAUACUGCCAUGACUAGAGUCCGGUAGGGGAGUGUGGAAUUCCCGGUGUAGUGGUGAAAUGCGUAGAGAUCGGGAGGAACACCUGUGGCGAAGGCGGCCGACUGGGCCGACCCUGACGCUGAGGCGCGAAGGCGUGGGGAGCGAACGGG
rnacentral:rRNA from 1 species